CCCUACGGGGGGCAGCAGUGAGGAAUAUUGGUCAAUGGGCGAGAGCCUGAACCAGCCAAGUCGCGUGAAGGAUGACGGCCCUACGGGUUGUAAACUUCUUUUGUCAGGGAGCAAUUGGGUCCACGUGUGGGCUUAGCGAGAGUACCUGAAGAAAAAGCAUCGGCUAACUCCGUGCCAGCAGCCGCGGUAAUACGGAGGAUGCGAGCGUUAUCCGGAUUUAUUGGGUUUAAAGGGUGCGUAGGCGGGCUUUUAAGUCAGCGGUAAAAAUUCGGGGCUCAACCCCGUCCGGUCGUUGAAACUGGGGG
rnacentral:rRNA from 1 species